rnacentral:rRNA from 1 species
AGCAGCCGCGGUAAUUCCAGCUCCAAUAGCGUAUAUUAAAGUUGUUGCAGUUAAAAAGCUCGUAGUUGAAUUUCGGGGUCAGUAGGUUGGUCGUGCCACUGGUACGUACUGGUCUCACUGAUUCCUCCUUCCUGAUGAACCGUAAUGCCAUUAAUUUGGUGUUGCGGGGAAACUGGACUGUUACUUUGAAAAAAUUAGAGUGUUUAAAGCAGGCUAACGCUUGAAUACAUUAGCAUGGAAUAAUGAAAUAGGACGUUCGAUCCUAUUUUGUUGGUUUCUAGGAUUGACGUAAUGAUUAAUAGGGAUAGUUGGGGGCAUUAGUAUUCAAUUGUCAGAGGUGAAAUUCUUGGAUUUAUUGAAGACUAACUACUGCGAAAGCAUUUGCCAAGGAUGUUUUCAUUAAUCAAGAACGAAAGUUAGGGGAUCGAAGACGAUCAGAUACCGUCGUAG